UACGUAGGGGGCAAGCGUUGUCCGGAUUUAUUGGGCGUAAAGAGCGUGUAGGCGGUUCGGUAGGUCCGUUGUGAAAACUCGAGGCUCAACCUCGAGACGCCGAUGGAAACCCUCGAACUAGAGUCCGGAAGAGGAGAGUGGAAUUCCCGGUGUAGCGGUGAAAUGCGCAGAUAUCGGGAGGAACACCGGUGGCGAAGGCGGUUCUCUGGGCCUGUACUGACGCUGAGGAGCGAAAGCGUGGGGAGCGAACAGG
rnacentral:rRNA from 1 species